CCUACGGGAGGCAGCAGUGGGGAAUUUUCCGCAAUGGGCGAAAGCCUGACGGAGCAACGCCGCGUGAGGGAUGAAGGCCUCUGGGCUGUAAACCUCUUUUAUCAAGGAAGAAGAUCUGACGGUACUUGAUGAAUAAGCCACGGCUAAUUCCGUGCCAGCAGCCGCGGUAAUACGGGAGUGGCAAGCGUUAUCCGGAAUUAUUGGGCGUAAAGCGUCCGCAGGCGGCCCUUCAAGUCUGCUGUUAAAAAGUGGAGCUUAACUCCAUCAUGGCAGUGGAAACUGUUGGGCUUGAGUGUGGUAGGGGCAGAGGGAAUUCCCGGUGUAGCGGUGAAAUGCGUAGAUAUCGGGAAGAACACCAGUGGCGAAGGCGCUCUGCUGGGCCAUCACUGACGCUCAUGGACGAAAGCCAGGGGAGCGAAAGGGAUUAGAUACCCCUGUAGUCCUGGCCGUAAACGAUGAACACUAGGUGUCGGGGGAAUCGACCCCCUCGGUGUCGUANCCAACGCGUUAAGUGUUCCGCCUGGGGAGUACGCACGCAAGUGUGAAACUCAAAGGAAUUGACGG
rnacentral:rRNA from 1 species